CCGCACUUUCGCCGCGCACGUUGGCGCAGGUUGUCCUGCGUAGCCCCACGCCCCAGUCCGCCGCAGCAGCGCCCCCGCGUAGCGGCGUAGGUCGUCGCGCCGACAACUGCAGGCUGCGGCGUGUAGCCCCACGCCCCCACGCAGUCUGCCGCAGCAGCUCCCCCGCGCAGGUCGUCGCGCCGCCGCAACUGCAGGCUGCGGUGUGUCGCCCCAACCCCAAGCCCCUCGCGCGGGCUGUCCCAACAGCGCCACGGGCAGGUCGUCGCGCCGCCAGAACUGCAGGCUGCGGCAUGUAGCCCCAAGCACUCGCGCAAGCCGUCGCAGCAGCGCCCCCCGCGCAGGCUGUCGCCCCCUUUGCAACUUCCGUCACCGACUCCCUGGUUGAGAUUCUUUCUGAAGUAUUAAUUGAUGUUAUCAACAGUAACGUUUUCCAGACAUGUCAUCCUCCAAGCUCACUCCCUUCAGGAAAUAACCAAUGGGCAAAAUAAAGAUCCAAAAAAGGCCAAAAGCUUGUAUUCCAUUAACAAAACCCCGGGACAAAACGUUCCAACUGUUGGUAUUAACCUCCUAGAUCUUGUAUUCUUGCAUGGACAGCUUAGUGUUGCAUUGCCAAGGGGUGUGUCAAGGUAGACCACUCGGAUUUUGGCAAAGCCAAAUAAAGUCAUAGAUCCCAUGGGGAAAACCACAAAGAGUAUUGUGUUAGGGAUGUCUUGGAGGGAUGAAAUAGAUUUGUUCUUCCUUAUGAGCUUGCUCAUCUUUUUAUGAUAUUGCUCCUUUCCCUUUGUUCUGAUUUAAAUAUGUGUUUUGCAACAGCUUCAACAGUUUUUUUACCUGGUUAUGAAAUGGGAGCUUUUCCACAUAUAUCUUGAUGAUCUGUACAAUUUUUUACAUCUUGAGAAUGGAGCUGAUACUUGGCUUCUUGGUUUCAUUUCUUCUCAUAGUCUUGAUGUUCGCUUUUUCUAUUGUUCCAUCAAUGAAAUUUAGAUUGUUGUUGUUUUGCUCAAGAUUUUACAUUGCUAUAAUUCUUCGCCAUUCGCAAUCAUUCAGAUUGUCCUUUUUUGGUCCCUGGAACUUUCAUGUAUUUUAUUUCUAUGAAUUUACAUUUCAUCACGAGAACCUGACAUCACAGCACUGGUGGAGGUCACGAGCGGUAAUCUCGGCAUCGGUGUGGCAUUCAGAACUUGUCAGGAAGGAUACAAGUUCAUUGUGGCCAUGCCUACCCAAAUCCACUUGCUAAGCAGAUACUGUUGCCGUACCUUGGCGCUGAAGUUAUAUUAGUUGAGAGGUAUCUUAACAUGGAGCUCUUUUCACAGAUGAGGGGAGUGUGUCAACGUCAACAUGACCUUCUGAUAUUCAGCUCAAAGGAAUGACGGUGUCGGGGUAAUCUACAUGUGUACUGUUAUCUUACUCUAGCUAGAUAUUCCCUGCACAACUACAUAAUAAACUGGUACGUGUUAGUAGUAAUGGAUAUGCAGUAUGGGGGAAGUGAACCUACGAAGUACUCUCUCCAUUCUGAAAUA